CCCUCCUGGUCGCCACCUUCCCCUCCUGGUCGCCACCUUCCCCUCCUGGCUAUCCCCACAGUGACGGGUGGCGGUGAAGAAUCGACGCCCCCCUCGUGCAGCUCGUGUCCUUCCCUGACCCGGAUGCAGCCAAACCCUCGCUUCGGGCGCACAGAGGCGCUCAGCACCGCACCGCACGCGCCCUACCCGCGCGUGACACCGCAGAAAAACAAAACAAAACAAAACAAAACCCAUCCGGGCGCCCAGCCUCGACCGACGGGGCGAGGAGCCGCGCGUGCCGUGGCGCGCCCAAAGCCACCCCACCUACCCGUCGAAGCGCACCGUGCCGGUCUGCUGCGUCUGCACGCGGUAGUGCUCGAGGAGCAGGCGCACCACCUUGGCGUGGCCGUUGCGGGCGGCGAUGAUGAGGGGCGUGGAGCGCUGCCCGCCGUGCUGGCUGACGUAGCCCAGCAGGUACUUGAUGUCGCUCUCGGAACGGUUCAGCAGCAGGGCGGCCAGGGUCAGCACUCGCCCCUCGCUCGCCGCUUUGUACACGUACCCGGCCAGCCCCUCCAUCGCCGCCUCCUUCUCCUCCUUCUCCUUCUCCUCCGCCACCACCACCCCGGGCCCACCGCCCGCUGCCGACGGGCCGGCUCCUGGCUCGGGCUGCGGCUCCGUGCUGCCGAGGGGAACAUGCGGCCCGUCCCCGGGCCCGGCCAGCCCCACGGUGAGGGCUGGGAGCCAAGCGGGGACCGGACCCGGUGCCCGGUGCCCGCCGCCUCACCCACGGCCCAUCCCCAGGCCGCUGCUGCCCAGGGCGGGAUUCGAACCCGCGGCCCCCGCCGCUGCUGCCCCCCGAGGAGGGGGGGGAUUCGAACCCGCGGCCCCCGCCCUAGGGCCGCUGCCCCCCGGGGGGAUUCGAACCCGCGGCCUCCGCCGCCGCUGCUGCCCCCGGGCGGGAUUCGAACCCGCGACCCCCGCCCUAGCGGAGCCCGCCGGGGCCUCGAGAGCGGGGCCGCGGCCGCCGGGAGAAGGGGGGCCGGGGCUGGGGGGGGGUGGGCACCGCUACGGGUCGCCGGCAGGGCCCCGCGGGGAGCGCGGCGGGCACGGGGCGUCCGCGGCCGCUCCGCCCCCGCCGCCGACUCCGGAAGCGAAAGCGGAAGGGCCGCGGCGUGCACGGGUUCUUCGUGGUCCCUCCCGGCAACGGGAGGCAGCGAGCGGGCGUUCCAGGCGCCGCGUGGUCCUAGGGGGGCCGGGACCGUGCUCCCCCCAGCCCCGGCUCGCCCCAGCCCGGUGCUGCCCGGCCCGGGCACAUCCCCAGCCCCGGGGCUGCCUCGCCCGGGGGUCUCCCGGGGGGCUGCGGGGCUCCCCGUGCCUGCCUCAGGCCUAGGCCCCGUACCUCAGAUUGGGUUUGGGUUGGAUUUGUUUGCAG
rnacentral:lncRNA from 1 species